rnacentral:rRNA from 1 species
CGAAGGGUGCAAGCGUUACUCGGAAUUACUGGGCGUAAAGCGUGCGUAGGUGGCGCGUUAAGUCUGUCGUGAAAGCCCCGGGCUCAACCUGGGAAUGGCGAUGGAUACUGGCGCGCUAGAGUGCGGUAGAGGAGAGUGGAAUUCCCGGUGUAGCAGUGAAAUGCGUAGAGAUCGGGAGGAACAUCAGUUGCGAAGGCGGCUCUCUGGACCAACACUGACACUGAGGCACGAAAGCGUGGGGAGCAAACAGGAUUAGAUACCCUGGUAGUCCACGCCCUAAACGAUGCGAACUGGACGUUGGGAGCAACUAGGCUCUCAGUGUCGAAGCUAACGCGUUAAGUUCGCCGCCUGGGGAGUACGGUCGCAAGACUG